GACGAACGCUGGCGGCGUGCUUAACACAUGCAAGUCGAGCGGUAAGGCCCUUUCGGGGGUACACGAGCGGCGAACGGGUGAGUAACACGUGGGUGACCUCCCCUCAGCUCUGGGAUAAGCCUGGGAAACCGGGUCUAAUACCGGAUAUGACUCCAUGACGCAUGUUGUGGGGUGGAAAGCCUUGUGCGGCUGAGGAUGGGCCCGCGGCCUAUCAGCUUGUUGGUGGGGUGAUGGCCACCAAGGCGACGACGGGUAGCCGGCCUGAGAGGGCGACCGGCCACACUGGGACUGAGACACGGCCCAGACUCCUACGGGAGGCAGCAGUGGGGAAUCUUGCGCAAUGGGCGAAGGCCUGACGCAGCGACGCCGCGUGAGGGAUGACGGCCU
rnacentral:rRNA from 1 species